UUACGGCGAUAUCACGAUGAAACGCCGGUUCCCGUACGAUCAUCGAAGUUAAGCAACGUCGAGCCUGACCAGUACCUAGACGGGGGACCACUUGGGAAUAUCAGGUACUGUAAG